UACGUAGGGACCAAGCGUUGUCCGGAAUCAUUGGGCGUAAAGAGCGUGUAGGCGGCUUGUUAAGUCUUGCGUGAAAUCUCGGGGCUCAACCCCGAGCGGUCGUGAGAAACUGGCAGGCUAGAGUGCGGGAGAGGAGAGUGGAAUUCCUGGUGUAGCGGGUGAAAUGCGCAGAUAUCAGGAAGAACACCAGCGGCGAAGGCGGCGCUCUGGGCCGGUACUGACACUGAGGAGCGAAAGCGUGGGUAGCAAACAGG
rnacentral:rRNA from 1 species